rnacentral:sRNA from 1 species
UAUCCCUCACUACUAAGCUAUCUAUCGCUGCUAAUCUAUCGCUGCCAACCUAUCUAUCGCUGUCAACCUAUCUAUCGCUGCCAAUUUAUCUACCACUGCCAAUCUAUCUAUCGCUGCUAAUCUAUCACUGCUGUCAAUCUAUCUAUCGCUGCUAAUCUAUCUAUUGCUGCUAAUCUAUCGCUGCUAAUCUAUUGCUGCUGCCAAUCUAUCACUGCUAAUCUAUCGCUGCUGCCAAUCUAUCGCUGCUAAUUUAUUGCUGCUGCCAAUCUAUCUAUCACUGCUAAUCUAUUGCUGCUAAUCUAUCGCUGCUAAUCUAUCACUGCCAACCUAUCUACCGCGGCGAAUCUAUCUAUUGCUGCCAACCAACCUACCUACCACUGCCAAUCUAUCGCUGCCAACCUAUCUACUGCAGUGAAUCUAUCUAUCACUAUCAUUACUAGUUCAAAAUAGAACUAGAGCAUAAAUACACUAAACUUCUUUUGAUAGAUAAUGAUUUUUGAUAAUGCUCAUAGCAUUAUAUCAUCUAUAUAGGGUAAAUCAUGGUCCCAUUUGGUUCCAUUUUGUAAAAUGAGAUCAAAUGGGAUCAGAAUCAGUAAUUUAUAAGAAGAACAUGAUCUAGGACUAGAUUUAUAAUAUAAACAGUGUAAAAUGACUAAUUUAAUAAACACUAUAUG